GACGAACGCUGGCGGCGUGCUUAACACACGCAAGUCGAACGGAAAGGCCCUGCUUUUGUGGGGUGCUCGAGUGGCGAACGGGUGAGUAACACGUGAGUAACCUGCCCUUGACUUUGGGAUAACUUCAGGAAACUGGGGCUAAUACCGGAUAGGAGCUCCUGCUGCAUGGUGGGGGUUGGAAAGUUUCGGCGGUUGGGGAUGGACUCGCGGCUUAUCAGCUUGUUGGUGGGGUAGUGGCUUACCAAGGCUGUGAGGGGUAGCCGGCCUGAGAGGGUGGCCGGGCACCAGGGGCCUACGAGACGGCCCAGACGGCAACGGGAGGCAGCAGGGGGGAGUAUGGCAGAAUGGCCGGAAGUCUGUUGCAGCAGUGUCGCGGGCGUGAAGACGGGUUUCGGGUGGUAAACAGCUGUCGCCUGUGCUGAAGCGGGAUUGACGGUAACUGGUAAAGAAGCCACGGCUAACUACGUG
rnacentral:rRNA from 1 species